UACGUAGGCAGCAAGCGUUGUUCGGAGUUACUGGGCGUAAAGGGUGUGUAGGCGGUUGCUUAAGUUUGGUGUGAAAUCUCCCGGCUUAACUGGGAGGGUGCGCCGAAUACUGAGUGACUAGAGUGCGGGAGAGGAAAGUGGAAUUCCUGGUGUAGCGGUGAAAUGCGUAGAUAUCGUGGAGGAACACCGGUGGCGAAGGCGG
rnacentral:rRNA from 1 species